AAAAAAAAAAAAAUCCAGGUCAACACAAAAUUAAACGCAAAUAAAUCCAAAAUAAAACCCCUCAUAAUCACAUUACACCAAAACAUCACACGCUGAUCAAUUUUUUUCUACUUUCACACCACACGGCCACACUUUCAGCUCAAACUUUAUCUCUCUAAGGUCUUGGGAUCUUGGUUUGAUGGGUUUGAUAUGGGUUAGAAAGAGAGAGGCUGAGUUGGUUUAAUCCGGGUUAGAGGGAGAUGUUGAGAUCGGUUGCUGUCACGGCAUGGCUGUCGGCGACAUGUGGGUUCAAGAUCAACCAAAUGGGGACUGAUUUAAGAACUGUGGUGGUCGGGUUCUGGGUUUCAAAGUGGUUUUGGCGAUUGAAAAAGUGUGGGUUUUUAUUUGGGUUCCUUCAAAAUACCGAUCUGGUUUUUAUUUUCCUGCUCAAUCCAGCUCUUUGUGGGGUGUCAAUGGUGGAUCUGAAAUCAACAUUUCUGAAGGUAUACUCGGUUCUGUAAUCAGAGCUCCUUGAAGACUCUGCAUUUGAGUGGACAGCUGAUUCUCGUCAAUGGAUCGAGCUGGAAGCUGUAAGUUCAGAUGCCAUUCCUUACAUGUUAUCCACAUUUUUUGCUUGAAAAUAAGAAACCCAAAAAUCAAUCAAUGAGAAUGACUGUGUUUUGAAUGGCUAGUACGAGAGAUUCGGGUUAAUUGAUAUUGUUAAAAGAGUCUUGGAAAACAUUGAGAUGGUAAAUGGUAAUAUUCAUGUACCAAGAAUUAAGAAUUGUAGAUCUGAUGUUAAUUUUCUGGGUUUUAAAUUUUCCGGGUUUGUGUUCUUGCUCAAAUGUUUAAUGUGUUCAUGUUUAAUUUAUCAAUUUUAUCUGGGUUUGUCAAGAUUGUUGGCAUGAAUUCUAAUGCGUUCAUGUUUAAUCUGAUGUGGAUCUGAAGUUUAAUUUUGUGUUCUUAUUUUCUGGGUUUGUGAUUUUUGGUUUUUAAUUUUGUGUUCUUAAG